rnacentral:rRNA from 1 species
GUAUAAGAGACAGCAGCAGCCGCGGUAAUACGAAGGGGGCUAGCGUUGUUCGGAAUUACUGGGCGUAAAGCGCGCGCAGGCGGUUUUUCAAGUCAGUGGUGAAAGCCCGGAGCUCAACUCCGGAAAUGCCAUUGAAACUGUAAAACUUGAGGACGAGAGAGGUGAGUGGAAUUCCCAGUGUAGAGGUGAAAUUCGUAGAUAUUGGGAAGAACACCGGUGGCGAAGGCGGCUCACUGGCUCGUUUCUGACGCUCAGGUGCGAUAGCGUGGGGAUCAAACA